rnacentral:tRNA from 1 species
GGGCUCAUGGUCCAACGGGACGACGCUGGCUUGGCUGGUCGGAGAUCCGAGUUCGAUUCUCGGUGGGUCCA